rnacentral:rRNA from 1 species
CGAGUUACGAUUUGUUGCAAGGUUAAGCGGAAAAAGCGGAGCCGUAGCGAAAGCGAGUCUGAAUAGGGCGCAUAAGUAACAGGUCGUAGACCCGAAACCAGGUGAUCUACCCAUGUCCAGGAUGAAGGUAAGGUAAUACUUACUGGAGGUCCGAACCCACGCACGUUGAAAAGUGCGGGGAUGAGGUGUGGGUAGCGGAGAAAUUCCAAUCGAACUUGGAGAUAGCUGGUUCUCUCCGAAAUAGCUUUAGGGCUAGCCUCGAGGUAAAGAGUCAUGGAGGUAGAGCACUGUUUGGACUAGGGGCCCUUCUCGGGUUACCGAAUUCAGAUAAACUCCGAAUGCCAUGUACUUAUACUCGGGAGUCAGACUGCGAGUGAUAAGAUCCGUAGUCGAAAGGGAAACAGCCCAGACCACCAGUUAAGGUCCCCAAAUAUAUGUUAAGUGGAAAAGGAUGUGGGGUUGCUUAGACAACCAGGAUGUUGGCUUAGAAGCAGCCACCAUUGAAAGAGUGCGUAAUAGCUCACUGGUCGAGUGACCCCGCGCCGAAAAUGUACCGGGGCUAAACAUAUUACCGAAACUGUGGAUGAACCUCUUUAGAGGUUCGUGGUAGGAGAGCGUUCUAAGGGCGGUGAAGUCAGACCGGAAGGACUGGUGGAGCGCUUAGAAGUGAGAAUGCCGGUAUGAGUAGCGAAAGAAGGGUGAGAAUCCCUUCCACCGAAUAUCUAAGGUUUCCUGAGGAAGGCUCGUCCGCUCAGGGUUAGUCGGGACCUAAGCCGAGGCCGAUAGGCGUAGGCGAUGGACAACAGGUAGAGAUUCCUGUACCAGUGCUAAUUGUUUAACCGAUGGGGUGACACAGAAGGAUAGGGAAUCGCACGAAUGGAAAUGUGCGUCCAAGCAGUGAGUGUGAGAAGUAGGCAAAUCCGCUUCUCGCGAAGCAUGAGCUGUGAUGGGGAAGGAAAUUAAGUACGGAAGUUCCUGAUUUCACGCUGUCAAGAAAAGCCUCUAGGAAGAGUAGUACUGCCCGUACCGCAAACCGACACAGGUAGAUGAGGAGAGAAUCCUAAGGUGAGCGAGAGAACUCUCGUUAAGGAACUCGGCAAAAUGACCCCGUAACUUCGGGAGAAGGGGUGCUCUAUUAGGGUGCAAGCCCGAGAGAGCCGCAGUGAAUAGGCCCAGGCGACUGUUUAGCAAAAACACAGGUCUCUGCAAAACCGUAAGGUGACGUAUAGGGGCUGACGCCUGCCCGGUGCUGGAAGGUUAAGAGGAGUGCUUAGCUUCGGCGAAGGUACGAAUUGAAGCCCCAGUAAACGGCGGCCGUAACUAUAACGGUCCUAAGGUAGCGAAAUUCCUUGUCGGGUAAGUUCCGACCCGCACGAAAGGCGCAACGAUCUGGGCACUGUCUCAACGAGAGACUCGGUGAAAUUAUAGUACCUGUGAAGAUGCAGGUUACCCGCGACAGGACGGAAAGACCCCGUGGAGCUUUACUGCAACCUGAUAUGGAAUGUUUGUACCGCUUGUACAGGAUAGGUAGGAGCCGAAGAGACGUGUGCGCUAGCAUACGAGGAGGCAAUGGUGGGAUACUACCCUGGCUGUAUGACCAUUCUAACCCGCCACGCUUAGCGCGUGGGGAGACAGUGUCAGGUGGGCAGUUUGACUGGGGCGGUCGCCUCCUAAAGAGUAACGGAGGCGCCCAAAGGUUCCCUCAGAAUGGAUGGAAAUCAUUCGCAGAGUGUAAAGGCACAAGGGAGCUUGACUGCGAGACUGACAAGUCGAGCAGGGACGAAAGUCGGGCUUAGUGAUCCGGUGGUUCCGCAUGGAAGGGCCAUCGCUCAACGGAUAAAAGCUACCCCGGGGAUAACAGGCUUAUCUCCCCCAAGAGUCCACAUCGACGGGGAGGUUUGGCACCUCGAUGUCGGCUCGUCGCAUCCUGGGGCUGUAGUCGGUCCCAAGGGUUGGGCUGUUCGCCCAUUAAAGCGGCACGCGAGCUGGGUUCAGAACGUCGUGAGACAGUUCGGUCCCUAUCCGUCGCGGGCGCAGGAAAUUUGAGAGGAGCUGUCCUUAGUACGAGAGGACCGGGAUGGACACACCGCUGGUGUACCAGUUGUUCCGCCAGGAGCAUCGCUGGGUAGCUAUGUGUGGCAGGGAUAAACGCUGAAAGCAUCUAAGCGUGAAGCCCCCCUCAAGAUGAGAUUUCCCAUUUCUUCGGAAAGUAAGAUCCCUGAAAGAUGAUCAGGUAGAUAGGUUUGGAGUGGAAGUGUAGCGAUACAUGGAGCGGACAAAUACUAAUCGAUCGAGGACUUAACCAAAA